rnacentral:rRNA from 1 species
UACGUAGGGUGCAAGCGUUAAUCGGAAUUACUGGGCGUAAAGCGUGCGCAGGCGGUUGUGCAAGACAGGUGUGAAAUCCCCGGGCUUAACCUGGGAACUGCACUUGUGACUGCACAGCUGGAGUACGGCAGAGGGGGGAUGGAAUUCCGCGUGUAGCAGUGAAAUGCGUAGAUAUCGAGAGGAACACCUGCGGCGAAGGCGGGUUGCUGGGCUGACACGUGACGCUGAAGCGCGAAAGCUAGGGGAGCGAACGGG